CCUUUCCCCUCCAAUUAAGCGUAAAGUUUGUGCCAGGAGUGGGUACGACAAUAGUGCAACGGGUGGGGGUUGAACCGCCGACCUUUCGGAAUUCAGUCCGCUCCUCAACCGUUGAGCUGAGCUAUCGAGGCAAGUAUUGCCUCAUUACAUUUGAUGUAUUUGGACGCUCUUUAACAGACGUUAAAAAAAAAGCUCUCGUAUAAAUGAGGCCUUAGUUGUUAAUUUAAAAUUCAUUUCCGUUCUUUUUUAACGAUAUCAAAAGAAAAAGAUGCGGAUACUCCUUUACAUGGGGAAAUGCCACAUUGUAGUGACGUCACCAGGUCCGAUAUCGUGCGUAUCAAACUUGCGGCCGUACUCACAAUCAUUACUAUGAGGUGUCACAGUGCGCUCGAACGCAUAGUGUAGGUUCCACCAAUCAGAUCAUUGUAAAUUGACGUGACACAGUCAUCUGAUUGGUGGAACCUACACUGUGCGAUCGAUCGCACUGUUAGACCUCAUAGUAACGUUUGUGAAUACGGGUGAUAGAGUUGCUAAGAAUAAGGUUGUGUUGUAUUGGUCACAAGUACUGAACACUAGUAAAGAAAAAGUGCGCUUCAAAUGCGAAUAUUAUCAGCAACAACGCUCUUAACUUGACCAGCAACUAAUACUUUCAUUAGUUUUUUUCUCCACUAAAUCAAAGCCAACCCUCAUUCCACAUUGUUUAGUUCUACACUGCUGCAUCACUGAGAGGUACAAAAAUAAUAUUUCGUAGCAAACCUUGAAUUCAGUUCUGAAACCAACCUAACAGAAAUAUUGAGGAGAAACGUCAAAUCUGGUGAUGGUUUUCACAUUUGAACCGCCUUAUAAUUUAAUUAAAACAUCACAAUAUAUGAUGCAUGUAGAAAUAUUCAAGGCGAUACUGAAAUGUCACCUAUUAAGUAUACUGAAUUUAAAAACGCUAACAAUUCCAACUAUAGAUACAGCGCCUAACUGAGUACCUAGGCUCCUGCGGUAGUGGUUGGUUGACGGUUGGUGGUAAGUUGACGUCACUGAGAUCGCGUUACGUCAUCACCCCCCUCCCGAACCUACUCAGAUAAGGUCAUAACUCACUUAAACGACACCGCUCCCGCACGGUAAAAGAAUAAACAUUCAAAAUAUGGGCUUAAAGUCCCUAAAUAAAUAAAGAUAGCAAAUGAUGGGCUUAAAAUAUGCAUUUGUAUGUGUGU